rnacentral:sRNA from 7 species
UCUCUCUGUACGGGAAGGAUGAGAAGCUUCGACCAAGGUUCGAUUCGAGCGCAGCGAGAAAGCGUUGCCGCAGGCAACGACCCGAAGGGCGAAGCGCGCAGCGCUGAGUCAUCCUUCCCCCACCACCA